AUAAUGGUUGGAGUGUUUACAUAUUACUGCAAUGAUGAGUCAAGCUUAACUGAUAUUGAGAAAUUGGCUCAGUCAGAAUCUGAUGUUUUGUUCACAAGUAAAGGAGAUAAGGUGAUUAAAGUCUGUUCUCAAUCUGGAUUCACAUCAGAUAAAGGUAACCUGGUUUCAAGUGAACAUGGAUCUAAUUACAAUGUCAAAAUAACUGGAAUGACAUGCUUCAGAUGCGUCAAUGCAAUCAGCAAUGUUGUAAAAGACCUUCCAGUUCUAGCAUUCUCCAUAAGUCUUGAGAAGGCUUCUGGAGACUUUGUCCUUAGUGAGGGCAUUGAUAUCAAUAUGAUUGUUAGUGUAAUAAAUUCUAUAGGUUCUAAAUUUACUGCUUCACUUUAAUUGGAUUUAGUAUGUUGUUAUCCUGUUAUAUGAAGUUAUGCAUCAUGAUAAAGUAUCAGUAUCUAAAGAUCUAUGUAAUUGGUUAUCUUGAUAUACAUUUUUUUUAAAUAAUAUUAUUUUAAUUUGGAUAAUUAACUUUGAUUUUAUUGGAGACUAAUCCUCUGAAUUUCUGGUGAACUUUAAAAUUCAGUAGUUUAUCUAGGAUUUAUUAUCAUUAAAUAAUUUCAUAAUAUUAUUCAGAUGACAUUUAAAAGCUUCAGUGUGUAGUAAUAUUUGAAAUAUUGUACAACUCAAAGUUGUAUUCACCUGCGUCCUGGUAGUGUGCAUGCAAUCAAGUUAUUCUUAAAAGUUUCAAUUACAGCGUUCCCUGAAAAACCAUGCCCAGAAAAACCAGUCUUUACAUAAAUUCACUGUUACUUGGUUUCUUCAAAAUUUCAAAAUUUAAUACAGAUUCUUCAUCAUCCAGGAUACUUUACCGGGUGGCCCAGAAGUAACUGCCCACACGCAACCCUUAAUUAUGAAUCUUGAAAUCCGUUUCAGAAUUGCAUAAUUUUACUUUCUAUCCCUUCCAUAGUAUGAUUUUUCAGGGUUUCACUGGACAUGUUUAUUGUAUUUUUACCAAGUUAAAUAAGAUAUGAAUUAUUGUGCUGGAAUUAGGAAACGCCCAAGGCUUGGGUCUGUUGAGGAAAGUAACAUUAGGUUGUUCCAUAAGUUCAGUUCAGCUUCGGAAAAUUACAUUGUGGCCUGGUCGUUUCCUAACUGAAAAGCAGAUAUUAUGAAAAAGCUAAUUCAAAUAAAUUGUAUCUCAAUAUCCUUGAUAUUAUUCAACUACUAA